rnacentral:rRNA from 1 species
AGAGUUUGAUCCUGGCUCAGGACGAACGCUGGCGGCGUGCUUAACACAUGCAAGUCGAACGGAGCUAUUUAUUUCGGUAGAUAGCUUAGUGGCAAACGGGUGAGUAACGCGUAGGCAACCUGCCCUCAGGAUGGGGACAACGGCUCGAAAGAGCCGCUAAUACCGAAUGACGUAACUCUUCCACAUGGAAGAGAUACUAAAGAUGGGUCAAACCAUCGCCUAAGGAUGGGCCUGCGUCUGAUUAGCCAGUUGGUGAGGUAACGGCUCACCAAAGCGACGAUCAGUAGCCGGUCUGAGAGGAUGAACGGCCACAAUGGGACUGAGACACGGCCCAUACUCCUACGGGAGGCAGCAGUGGGGAAUCUUCCGCAAUGGGCGAAAGCCUGACGGAGCAACGCCGCGUGAGUGAAGAAGGUCUUCGGAUCGUAAAGCUCUGUUGUCGGGGACGAAAGGGUAGACGAGGUAAUGCGUUUACUAAGACGGUACCCGACGAGGAAGCCACGGCUAACUACGUGCCAGCAGCCGCGGUAAUACGUAGGCGGCAAGCGUUGUCCGGAAUUAUUGGGCGUAAAGGGAGCGCAGGUGGGACGGUAAGUCCGUCUUAAAAGGCAGGGGCUCAGCCCCUGUAAGGGAUGGAAACUAUCGAUCUUGAGUGCCGGAGAGGAAAGCGGAAUUCCCAGUGUAGCGGUGAAAUGCGUAGAUAUUGGGAAGAACACCAGUGGCGAAGGCGGCUUUCUGGACUGCAACUGACGCUGAGGCUCGAAAGCCAGGGGAGCGAACGGGAUUAGAUACCCCGGUAGUCCUGGCCGUAAACGAUGGAUACUAGGUGUAGGAGGUAUCGACCCCUCCUGUGCCGGAGU